rnacentral:rRNA from 1 species
UUGAACGCUGGCGGCAGGCCUAACACAUGCAAGUCGAACGGUAACAGAAAGAAGCUUGCUUCUUUGCUGACGAGUGGCGGACGGGUGAGUAAUGUCUGGGAAACUGCCCGAUGGAGGGGGAUAACUACUGGAAACGGUAGCUAAUACCGCAUAACGUCGCAAGACCAAAGAGGGGGACCUUCGGGCCUCUUGCCAUCGGAUGUGCCCAGAUGGGAUUAGCUAGUAGGCGGGGUAACGGCCCACCUAGGCGACGAUCUCUAGCUGGUCUGAGAGGAUGACCAGCCACACUGGAACUGAGACACGGUCCAGACUCCUACGGGAGGCAGCAGUGGGGAAUAUUGCACAAUGGGCGCAAGCCUGAUGCAGCCAUGCCGCGUGUAUGAAGAAGGCCUUCGGGUUGUAAAGUACUUUCAGCGGGGAGGAAGGGAGUAAAGUUAAUACCUUUGCUCAUUGACGUUACCCGCAGAAGAAGCACCGGCUAACUCCGUGCCAGCAGCCGCGGUAAUACAGAGGGUGCAAGCGUUAAUCGGAAUUACUGGGCGUAAAGCGCACGCAGGCGGUUUGUUAAGUCAGAUGUGAAAUCCCCGGGCUCAACCUGGGAACUGCAUCUGAUACUGGCAAGCUUGAGUCUCGUAGAGGGGGGUAGAAUUCCAGGUGUAGCGGUGAAAUGCGUAGAGAUCUGGAGGAAUACCGGUGGCGAAGGCGGCCCCCUGGACGAAGACUGACGCUCAGGUGCGAAAGCGUGGGGAGCAAACAGGAUUAGAUACCCUGGUAGUCCACGCCGUAAACGAUGUCGACUUGGAGGUUGUGCCCUUGAGGCGUGGCUUCCGGAGCUAACGCGUUAAGUCGACCGCCUGGGGAGUACGGCCGCAAGGUUAAAACUCAAAUGAAUUGACGGGGGCCCGCACAAGCGGUGGAGCAUGUGGUUUAAUUCGAUGCAACGCGAAGAACCUUACCUGGUCUUGACAUCCACAGAACUUUCCAGAGAUGGAUUGGUGCCUUCGGGAACUGUGAGACAGGUGCUGCAUGGCUGUCGUCAGCUCGUGUUGUGAAAUGUUGGGUUAAGUCCCGCAACGAGCGCAACCCUUAUCCUUUGUUGCCAGCGGUCCGGCCGGGAACUCAAAGGAGACUGCCAGUGAUAAACUGGAGGAAGGUGGGGAUGACGUCAAGUCAUCAUGGCCCUUACGACCAGGGCUACACACGUGCUACAAUGGCGCAUACAAAGAGAAGCGACCUCGCGAGAGCAAGCGGACCUCAUAAAGUGCGUCGUAGUCCGGAUUGGAGUCUGCAACUCGACUCCAUGAAGUCGGAAUCGCUAGUAAUCGUGGAUCAGAAUGCCACGGUGAAUACGUUCCCGGGCCUUGUACACACCGCCCGUCACACCAUGGGAGUGGGUUGCAAAAGAAGUAGGUAGCUUAACCUUCGGGAGGGCGCUUACCACUUUGUGAUUCAUGACUGGGGUG